AUGAGCCACUCCCAGCACCCAGGAGGAGGCUUCUGGGCUGCUGUACCACCCCCUCAUCACAGAGGAGCUUUGGAUCCUGUCCAAAAAGUGACAACUUCUCCAGAAGCCCCCCAUUCCAUUGGUGAGUGCAUGCAGAUAGUAUGGAGCAGCUGUGUGGCCCAGACCAGUGCUGCUGCAGGCAGAUCCCAGUCUGGUGACCACCUCGACCCCAGAGGCUCCUGUGCUCCCGCCCAUGCUGGGCCCAUACAGAGAGGAGCUGCAGGGGUGCACUGGCUUUCACCAGAGGCUUGCCAUACCAUUGCCCACAGCCAGGGACCCACCUGAAGAAGAGCUACACAGGCCCACAAGCAAUACCUAGAGGCUUUCCUGAUACCAUUGAUAAGUAUGUGGAGUGCAGACAGGAACUGGGGUGCACAGCCCCCAGCCAAAGGCCCUCCAAGAAAAUAGCUACAUAGCCCCAGUGAGAGGCACACCUAAAUAUCAUCCCAAGUGUGCACAGGCCCAGCCAGAAGCCCACUUGGACAACAGGUCAGCUCAGGGAUCCAGAAGGCCACCACUGUGAACCCAGGAAUUGGUGUACUGCUGAGCAGCAGAGUAAAUGCUGCUCCAUGGCUUGCUGAGAAUUCAAGACAACUGGGUGAGCAAAAAGUCACCUCAACAAAGGCACAGCAGGCUGCAUCUGUCGAAAUGAGAAGACAUGUAAAGUCUCAAAACCAGACUUCCAGAUCACCUAAGGCUACCCCAAAGGGCAACAAGAUGGCACAAUCUGAUAUUCAACCACCUGGACUCUCUGAACUGGCAAUGAAAGAGGACCUGGAAAAAUGAAAUGGGAAAUAAUAUCUCAAUUAACAGCAGAGAUUGUGUCCAUAGUACAAGACAUGAUUAAUAAAUCUAGAGUGGACACAGAAAAAAAUAGAGCAGCUGAGGAACAUGAUCAAAUUCCAACAUAGGAAAUAAAUGAAAUCCAUAAAACAGAUGCAAACAGCUUUCCAGGAGAUUAGAAACUCCAUUGAAAGUUUAUGCAAAAGAAUGAGCCAAUGCAAGGAUAGAAUUUCAGAUAUAGAAGAUAGGAUUGCAAUUAGUGACCAGGAAAAGAAAAAUUUCUUAAAAAUAGUGAGGGACCAUGAGAAAUCAAUCCAGCAGCUCCUAGAUGAUGCAAAGAAUAACAUCAGACUGAUUGGUGUCAAUGAAGAAACAGGAGAGAGUACAGAUGGCAUAAAAAAAACUUCACAGAAGUAAUGGCAGAAAACUUCCCAAAUAGGGGAAAAGAAUUUGACAUAGAGAUAAGUGAGGCAUAUAGGACUCCAACUAGUCAUG
rnacentral:lncRNA from 1 species